CGUAAACCGAAGAUAAAACGUAAAAACGCUAAAUAGUAACGUCAAAACGUAAAUCCACUAUUUAUCAACUUUUUCUAAAAAUAACCUUGUAAUAUAUCAAAACGCUCGUAUGGAUGCAUAGAUCAUCGUCCAGAUAAUAUAAACUCAAAAAAAGGUCCGACGCGCCGCCACAAGCGGAGGUCAGACGGCGGUCAACACGGCGGUCAACCACGUCCGAUGCAAAAGUUGUCAACUACAAACUUCUUCAAAAUGAAGGGCUGAUGAACUUUCAUACCUGGAGCUAAGUCUGGUUCGGCCUAGAUCGUCCUAGAUCAAGCUUUGAAGUUUGGAUUAAUCUGGUGCGUCCGAUCAGAUCCUAGAUUGAAUCAGGGACGUCGAAAUCUUCAACUCGUGAUCUUUCACUCCACACUCAAAAUCGUCGAGCAAGGAGGAUAUGAGGAUGAUCAGGGGGAGGAGGAGAUCACGAAAAUGGGAAGGAUCGGCCGAGGGGACGCCGGAAAAUUGGUUUUCCGUCCGGGUCCGAUUCGUCUCGUCUGGGCUCCUUCGAUCCAGGUCUGGGGGCAACGGCGGGGAAAAGCGGCACCACAGAGCGACUGGACGGCUUACGGCGAUCACGGGGAUGGCCGGGUCGUGGCCGGAGAAGGGAGUUCCAGCCGAGUCGGGUCGGCGGGUCUGCCGGCCUGGGAAGGGUUUCGAGCGAGAGAGAGAGAGAGAACCGGGGUAGGGAC
rnacentral:lncRNA from 1 species